rnacentral:lncRNA from 1 species
AUUUCUCAAGACAAACCAAAGGCUUUCUCCACCACGGCUUGCCGGCCUCACGCUGCUGCUGGUGUUUCCUGCCAGCUGCAGUCGCUGCACCACUCCUGUGUGCUCCUGGAAGGUAGCUCAGGCCCUCCCUCACCAAGGUACUUCCAGGAGCUUGAAAAGAACACCUGGGUUCCAUCACUGGGAAAUUGUUGCCCUAAUGAAAACCUUGUUUUAAACGUCAAGUGUACCACCUGUGUGUUCACACUGACAGAUCACAAGAAGUGGAAGAAUACUUUCUGAAAAGGAAUACAAAGUGAACGCCAUGAAGCAGGAUCACCAAAAGCACGUCCGGGAGUGCUUAGCCCAGGCCAUCUUCCACAAGGUCCUGGACAUGGAGGUGCGGCCUUUUCUUACCCCCUUUAUGAUGGACCGUUCACUCUUCAACACAGACUAACGAUGGAGAAUUCUUCCUAAGCUUCACGAAAAAGGAAAUGGGCCAAAAUGAAAGGGGAGAUACUGUCUGACUUCCUAAGUAGCCAGGAGCCCAGAGACCCAAGUUUUCCUCCUUUUUAGUUCAGAAGAAAU